rnacentral:rRNA from 1 species
AUUGAACGCUGGCGGCAGGCUUAACACAUGCAAGUCGAGCGAGCGGCGGACGGGUGAGUGAUGUCUGGGAACCUGCCUGAUGGAGGGGGAUAACUACUGGAAACGGUAGCUAAUACCGCUUACCAUCAGAUGGGCCCAGAUGGGAUUAGCUAGUAGGUGGGGUAAUGGCUCACCUAGGCGACGAUCCCUAGCUGGUCUGCGAGGAUGACCAGCCAAACUGUAACUGAGACACGGUCCAUACUCCUACGUGAGGCAGCAGUGGGGAAUAUUGGGCAAUGGGCGAAAGCCUGAUGCAGCCAUGCCGCGUGUGUGAAGAAGGCCUUCGGGUGGUAAAGCUCUUUCAGCGAGGAGGCGUUAUUCGCAGAAGAAGCACCGGCUAACUCCGUGCCAGCAGCCGCGGUAAUUC